GGUAGGAGCUGGCUUGCCUGCGAUAGCGGUGGGUCAGGCAACACAUCUGUGUCUGAUAGACCGCAAUCGCAGGCAAGCCAGCUCCCACA
rnacentral:misc_RNA from 1 species